rnacentral:rRNA from 1 species
GAUGAACGCUGGCGGCGUGCUUAACACAUGCAAGUCGAACGAUGAAGCCCAGCUUGCUGGGUGGAUUAGUGGCGAACGGGUGAGUAACACGUGAGUAACCUGCCCUUAACUCUGGGAUAAGCCUGGGAAACUGGGUCUAAUACCGGAUAGGAGCGUCCACCGCAUGGUGGGUGUUGGAAAGAUUUAUCGGUUUUGGAUGGACUCGCGGCCUAUCAGCUUGUUGGUGAGGUAAUGGCUCACCAAGGCGACGACGGGUAGCCGGCCUGAGAGGGUGACCGGCCACACUGGGACUGAGACACGGCCCAGACUCCUACGGGAGGCAGCAGUGGGGAAUAUUGCACAAUGGGCGCAAGCCUGAUGCAGCGACGCCGCGUGAGGGAUGACGGCCUUCGGGUUGGAAACCUCUUUCAGUAGGGAAGAAGCGAAAGUGACGGUACCUGCAGAAGAAGCACCGGCUAACUACGUG